rnacentral:rRNA from 1 species
GAUGAACGCUAGCGACAGGCCUAACACAUGCAAGUCGAGGGGCAGCACAUGCGUAGCAAUACAAUGGUGGCGACCGGCGCACGGGUGAGUAACACGUAUGCAACCUACCUGUAAGAGGGGAAUAACCCGGAGAAAUUCGGACUAACACCGCAUAAUACCUCGAAGCUGCAUGGCUUUGAGGUUAAAUAUUUAUAGCUUACGGAUGGGCAUGCGUAACAUUAGAUAGUUGGUGAGGUAACGGCUCACCAAGUCAACGAUGUUUAGGGGUUCUGAGAGGAAGGUCCCCCACACUGGGACUGAGACACGGACCAGACUCCUACGGGAGGCAGCAGUAGGGAAUAUUGGGCAAUGGACGAAAGUCUGACCCAGCCAUGCCGCGUGCAGGAUGAAUGUCCUAUGGAUUGUAAACUGCUUUUAUAUGGGAAGAAACCCCUGGAUGCGUCCGGGGCUGACGGUACCAUUUGAAUAAGGAUCGGCUAACUUCGUGCCAGCCGCCGCGGUAAUAC